rnacentral:misc_RNA from 1 species
UACAAUAGCUAUUAAUUUGUACGGGAU